rnacentral:tmRNA from 1 species
GGGACCGACCUGGCUUCGACGUGGGUGCGGAGUCGGAACAGGGCAUGCCGAGCACCAGUUCGCUCGUAAAUCCACUGGAACAAAGUAACUGCGAACGACGAACGUUUCGCCCUCGCCGCUUAACACCGGUGAGCCUCUCAACGGCAGGCCGAUGGGCCGGGCCGAAGAUCGCAAGAUCCUAGGCUGAGAGGUCAUUCACAUCGGCUGGUCGAUGCCCGUGCACCUUGGGCAUCGACGAGA